rnacentral:rRNA from 2 species
CUGCGAAUGGCUCAUUAAAUCAGUUAUCGUUUAUUUGAUAGUACCUUACUACACGGAUAUCUGUGGUAAUUCUAGAGUUAAUACGUGCUAAAAACCCCGACUUCGGGAGGGGUGUAUUUAUUAGACUAAAAGCCAACGCCCUCCGGGGCUCCUUGGUGAUUCAUAAUAACUCAACGAAUCGCAUGGCCUUGAGCCGGCGAUGGUUCAUUCAAAUUUCUGCCCUAUCAACUUUCGAUGCUAGGGUAGUGGCCUAGCAUGGUGACAACGGGUAACGGGGGAUUAGGGUUCUAUUCCGGAGAGGGAGCCCGAGAAACGGCUACCACAUCCAAGGAAGGCAGCAGGCGCGCAAAUUACCCAAUCCCGACACGGGGAGGUAGUGACAAUAAAUACUGAUACAGGGCUCUUUCGGGUCUUGUAAUUGGAAUGAGUACGAUUUAAACACCCUAACGAGGAACAAUUGGAGGGCAAGUCUGGUGCCAGCAGCCGCGGUAAUUCCAGCUCCAAUAGCGUAUAUUAAAGUUGUUGCAGUUAAAACGCUCGUCGUUGAACCUUGGGCCUGGGCGAUCGGUCCCCCUCACCGGGAGCACUGGUUCGGCCGGGCCUUUCCUUCUGGGGAUCCGCAUGCCCUUUGCUGGGCGUGCCGGGGAACCAGGACUUUUACUUUGAAAAAAUUAGAGUGUUCAAAGCAGGCCUUUGCUCGAAUACCUUAGCAUGGAAUAAUAGAAUAGGACGUGCGGUCCUAUUUUGUUGGUUUCUAGGACCGCCGUAAUGAUUAAUAGGGUCAGUCGGGGGCAUCAGUAUUCAAUUGUCAGAGGUGAAAUUCUUAGAUUUAUUGAAGACUAACUACUGCGAAAGCAUUUGCCAAGGAUGUUUUCAUUAAUCAGUGAACGAAAGUUAGGGGAUCGAAGACGAUCAGAUACCGUCGUAGUCCUAACCAUAAACUAUGCCGACUAGGGAUCGGGGUAUACUCAUUUUUGGUUGCCUCGGCACCUUACGAAAAAUCAAAGUGUUUGGUUCUGGGGGGAGUAUAGUCCA